rnacentral:rRNA from 1 species
AGAACGAACGCUGGCGGCAUGCCUAACACAUGCAAGUCGAACGAAGCCUUCGGGCUUAGUGGCGCACGGGUGCGUAACACGUGGGAAUCUGCCCUUAGGUACGGAAUAACUCAGGGAAACUUGAGCUAAUACCGUAUGAUGUCUUCGGACCAAAGAUUUAUCGCCUAAAGGAUGAGCCCGCGUCGGAUUAGCUAGUUGGUGGGGUAAAGCCUACCAAGGCGACGAUCCGUAGCUGGUCUGAGAGGAUGA